rnacentral:rRNA from 1 species
UACGUAGGGUGCAAGCGUUGUCCGGAAUUAUUGGGCGUAAAGAGCUCGUAGGCGGUUCGUCGCGUCGGCUGUGAAAUCCCGAGGCUCAACCUCGGGUCUGCAGUCGAUACGGGCGGACUGGAGUACUGCAGGGGAGACUGGGAUUCCUGGUGUAGCGGUGAAAUGCGCAGAUAUCAGGAGGAACACCGGUGGCGAAGGCGGGUCUCUGGGCAGUUACUGACGCUGAGGAGCGAAAGCGUGGGGAGCGAACAGG